AGUAAAUCUUAGAUUCCCUUGGCCUGUACUGCCUGCCUCUGUUACAAAUGCCUUAGAGUUUGGAGAAGAGAUGGAAAGAUCUAUACAACUCAUCCCUGGGGAUGAGCCCAGGGAGAAGAUGGACUUGGUCACCUACUUUGGAAAGAGACCCCCAGGCGUGCUGCAUUGCACAACCAAGUUUUGUGACUACGGGAAGGCUCCCGGGGCAGAGGAAUACGCUCAACAAGAUGUGUUAAAGAAAUCUUACUCCAAGGCCUUCACACUGACCAUCUCUGCCCUCUUUGUGACACCCAAGACGACUGGGGCCCGGGUGGAGUUAAGCGAGCAGCAACUGCAGUUGUGGCCGAGUGAUGUGGACAAGCUGUCACCCACUGACAACCUGCCGCGGGGGAGCCGCGCCCACAUCACCCUCGGCUGCGCAGCUGACGUAGAGGCCGUGCAGACGGGCCUUGACCUCUUAGAGAUUCUGCGGCAGGAGAAGGGAGGCAGCCGAGGCGAGGAGGUGGGCGAGCUAAGCCGGGGCAAGCUCUAUUCCUUGGGCAAUGGGCGCUGGAUGCUGACCCUGGCCAAGA
rnacentral:sRNA from 1 species